CAGCCGCCGCGGGAAUACGUAGGUGGCAAGCGUUGUCCGAAAUUAUUGGGCGUAAAGGGCUCGCAGGCGGUUUCUUAAGUCUGAUGUGAAAGCCCCCGGCUCAACCGGGGAGGGUCAUUGGAAACUGGGAAACUUGAGUGCAGAAGAGGAGAGUGGAAUUCCACGUGUAGCGGUGAAAUGCGUAGAGAUGUGGAGGAACACCAGUGGCGAAGGCGACUCUCUGGUCUGUAACUGACGCUGAGGAGCGAAAGCGUGGGGAGCGAACAGGAUUAGAUACCCGUGUAGUCCCUGUCUCUUAUAC
rnacentral:rRNA from 1 species